rnacentral:misc_RNA from 1 species
GAUGAAGAACGUAGCGAAAUGCGAUAAGUAAUGUGAAUUGCAGAAUUCAGUGAAUCAUCGAAUCUUUGAACGCACAUUGCGCCCGCCAGUAUUCUGGCGGGCAUGCCUGUUCGAGCGUCAUUUCAACCAUCAAGCCCCCGGCUUGUGUUGGGGACCUGCGGCUGCCGCAGGCCCUGAAAACCAGUGGCGGGCUCGCUGUCACACCGAGCGUAGUAGAUUAUCAUCUCGCUCAGGGCGUGCUGCGGGUUCCGGCCGUAAAAAGCCUUAUUUACCAAAGGUUGACCUCGGAUCAGGUAGGAAGACCCGCUGAACUUAAGCAUAUCAAUAAGCGGAGGA